rnacentral:piRNA from 1 species
UUCUAAGCAAAGAUAUGAUGUGAAAUU